UGGAGACAGACAUGCUGGGCUUUAUCACAAUGCUGAUUUUCUCCAGAUUGAUCUGGGUCCACUAAGACUCAGCAGGAGUCCAGGAAAGUGGAGAAAUCAAGACCCAGCGAUGACAGUAUCAUUAACUACAUGGACCGCAGAAUAAGUAACAAUGCCGAUGCAGAUGAUGGCGGUGAUGUCAGAGAUGCUGAUGCGACCUGCUCAGCGGCCCUCUUGAUCUCAUUCUAAGUGCUUUUCAUGUAGCAAUUCACUCGAUCCUCAUCUUCGCCGCAUAAAAUCAAUACCAUUAAAAAUUUUUAUUUUCCAGGUG
rnacentral:lncRNA from 1 species